rnacentral:rRNA from 1 species
UACGUAGGAGGCAAGCGUUGUCCGGAGUUACUGGGCGUAAAGCGCACGCAGGCGGUCCCAUUAGUCUGUGGGGACAGGGCACGGCUCAACUGUGUCAGGCUCAUGGAAACUGUGGGACUUGAGGGCUUCAGAGGGAUGGGGAAUUCCGGGUGGAGUGGUGAAAUGCGUAGAGAUGUGGAGGAACACCGAUGGCGAAGGCAG